rnacentral:misc_RNA from 1 species
AAGUAGCAGGCAAAAGUUCUAAGCAACAAAUACUGUUCCGCAAUUUAAGUUUACAUCAAUCAAAUACAGUUCUUGUUCUCUAUCUAUUCAUGUCAAGCCACCUAUGCCCCGAAUAAUCAGUGCGUAAUUUUCACUAUCAGAUCAAGGGAUCAAUUAGCUCUCUUGUUGCUCUGCUUGUGCUCCCAUUAGCUGUCUGCCGCACAAAUUGUCCCCGCACACGCGGUCGUUGCUCGGCUAAUCUCUUCCUGCUUUGGUACCGAACCUGAGACAUAAAAACAUUAUCAAUCUAAGCCUUUUUUUUUUCCCAAUAAAACUUACAGGGUUGAACAAUUAACGUAAGUAGGGGAAACCCUUUUAUAAAACAAGAUUUAACUGGUUUAUAUUGACAGAUGAAAAUGAAGCAAAAUCUAGCUCAGCCACAAAAUAAUGAAAAAUAUAGACAAAACAGAGUUGAAACAGAGAUAUGUAGCAUUAUAACUGCCAAAUAUUUGAACUUGAUUUAUAAGGAAAAUCUCGCCAUUAGGCCAACGAAAACAUGCAAAGAAACCGGAAAAAGAAAUGACGGUAAUGCUACACAAAAAAGAAGACUUUCUGAGUUCCCAUUGACAUGAGGUAUGCAACCCUGAAAGAAGCCUAGAACCAAAGUUGGAUAUAUUCAGAAAUAAAAAAAUUUAACUUACAGGACGUCGCCUAAUGCAAUAAUAUAAUCUUGCAAAAUUUGUUGCAGGUUAAAGGCCUGACUCAUGAAAGCAGCUGCUUCAUGAGGAAGAAUUGAAGAAAAGCACUCUCUCCAAAAUUUCAUUCCCAAUAUCAUGCUUUGAUGGAACUAAACAUGGUGAUUGCCAAUUGAAAAUGUAAACAAGAUGAUCAGGCUUGUGACUGAAUAAGAAAGCGAUAUGCACAAGGGCAGAGCACAAAAAGAAUCAUGUUGAGUAUUCAUGCAUGCAUAUACACAUCCUCCAGUUGCAGGAAAGCUCAAUAGAUUCCAACCCUCUUUUAUUAGAGGUUGAAUCACCCAAAAGAAUUGGGAUAAUGACAACAGAAGUGCUUGAACUUUCAGCAACUUCCAUAUAUAAGCUCCCCAACUUUAAAUUUGGCAAUCAAGUCUCUGAACAAACAAAAUGUUUCUAAUCAAGUGAUUCUGACCAUUUAUGGAUUCCAAAAUGCCAAUGUAUACGUCAAAGACCAUUCUCUAAAAUUCAUGUUGAGUUGGGUAAAAUAAUCCCAGCUUAACAGGUACAAAUAAUUAUCUGCAGCAAAAAAAUAACUCCUUCGAGGUAGUAUAACAUAGACAAUAGCAAUCAACAUGAGUCUCUAUGCCCGUCCAAUUGACAUUAUUUUUCCUAACUCACAUGAACCUUAGAGUAAAGAAAGCCACAAUGUCCUCGUAAACAAUCUGCUGAUGGUACAAUCUAAUGCAGUUGAUUACAAAAUUAUUAAUUCAAGCACUUGAUGCAAAAAUUUAAAGUUGAAGCAUUCAGAUUCGCUUGAAAGUGCAAUCACUUCUUGUAGUCAUUUUUCCCAACAAAAUACAAAAUUUAGGGGCCUGUUUACUAGUGAAAAACAGUUUUCUAUUUUCCAUUUUC